GAGAAGGACUCGCCGUCCCCCGACGCCGUUGCUCCCCUGGACCACGUCGCGCUCCGGGACAGGCCGGCGCUCACCCCCGACUUCUCUCGCCUCGUCUUCUCCAUGGAGCUCCCCUGCCGACGGCCCACGCCGGAGCUUUGGGCCGACCUCCCCUCCGGCAGCACGCGCCGCCCGAACCCAGUUGGCCGCGUCGGCAAUUUCAAUAUUACGCUCUCACAGUCCGGCUCUGCUCGUGCCAAGCUCUAGUUUUUCGUACUCCAGCUCUUGGAUGUGCUAUCCUCCCUUCUCACUCUCGGGCUCCAGCAGCAAAUGGACGAAAAGCAUCACGAAGCAGCUCAGCUCCAUCUUCUAUAGUUAUUUCUUGAAUCUGUGAUAUACUAUAUAAUGCAUUCUGUAGAAAACAGAAUGAUGUUCAUUGGAGCCUCUCUCUUGCUAUGUUUCUUCCAUUUGUUUCUGCUCUAAGAAAACUCCAUACUUGGAAAAUGUCUCUUCAUGACUUCUUCGAAGUUUUUUCUGUAGUUUUCAGUCUUGGGUGCGUGCAGUUUCUUCAUGUCACAUCUGAAAUUUGGGGCCAUGUAUGUACAUUGUAAUUAGCAGGGCCUUCCCUGUUUGUGAUACUAAAUGAGGUACCUCUAUAUA